ensembl:lncRNA
GGCCUGAGAGAACACCUAUAUGUGUUGUGAAAAGUGUUAUGUAAUGUAAUAUUUUAAAUGGUAUAUAACUGCCUUAAUGUUCCUGUACCCCAGGAAGAGUAGGUGCUGCCAAAGCAGCAGCUAAUGGGGAUCCUUAAUAAAUACAAAUACAGCAUGGUAUGUUCUGUGUCAAACUCUCUUAUUGCCCUGUCUCCCUCUCUCGCGCUCUCUCUCUCUCUCUCGCUCUUUCUUGUAUCUCUCUUUGCUGCAGGUUCGGAGCACAGUUAAAAGGAUCAAGGAGAGAAGAAAAGCGCUACGUUUUUCAAACUGUGCCAGCUCCAGACCCUCCAGCUCAUUGACCAGCUCCCGGCCCGCCAGCUCCCCCACGCCCUCCCCCCAGGGCCCCCAAGGUCCCAGCCUGGACGAAGGGGGGGAUAAGACCUGCUCCGGCCAGCCCAGCCCACUCCCCAACCUUACCUACCCCCACACCCCAGGCCCUGUGGAGGAGAACGCCAACAGAGGUGAGCCACAAGCUCCCUCACCCACAGUUCCGAUGACAGUACUACCUACAGAGGUGAAUCGAUGACUUCCUCCUUUUCUGACCCUCAUCCUGAAUGCUGCAUUUCACUCCGAAAACAAGAUCUCAGGCUGUAUAUUGCGUACCAUAGUCUGAAAGCUGAAUGAAAGGGGGGGAAAGACAGCUGAAAGAAUAUGCUCCAGCUUUUCACAAAAAUAAUCUAAAUUGUCCCAAAAAUAUUUAGACACUCAUUCUUCACUUCAAAAACAUAUUACCCUGUUGUGGGAGUGUGGCCAAGUGUAGUUUGUAGUUGUGCAGACUCCCAUGGACAUAUUGCCCACAGUGGCAUGGGUACGAAUCUCACCCCAGUCUGUACUUUCUUGCUGUCUUCCCCUCUACAACCUGUACCCUGCCUACCUUCCAACUGUCUAAGUAAAUUACGAAAAGAAGGACAGAGCUCUUGUCCUCCUUUUUGUAAAUUAAAUACAAAAUAAGAAUAUUACUCAAAUGUUGUACAACUUUGAUCAUGAUCACAAUCAUGAAAUUCAGGAACAAAAAUAAAACAAAUAACCUUUGCUGAUUUUUCUAAACCAAUAAUAGUUCCUCUUAGAGGAUUUUGAGUAACCUAUGUAAUUAGGACUGAGAAAUAUGGAACUUUAUUCAAUCGAAACCUGAAACCGGAUCUUGGUUUCAACAAGAGUUUGGAGUCAUUUAAUCAACAAACAUAACAUGUCAAUUCAACCUCACAUUUAUUCAAACCAUCUUCCUCGAGAACAAUCUCAUCCUAGUCUUACUGCGGAAACAUGUGUAUUGGCUUUGAUUGAACAGCGAAUCUGCGAUGCAUUAGGUUGUGAACGAGGAGCGGUGCUUGGCACAGAGAGUGAACCCAGACGUGAUAGCUCCUCUGUAGGACUCAAACACUGUCCAGACUGCACAGACUGAACAGCUUUAAUGCAGUUCCCUGACCCGUGUAUCACUGAGUGGAGUCAAUGUAAUUGAAGGGGAGGAAAACACACAUGAUAACACACAACACAGCCAUGCAUGCACGCAAUCACAUAUGCACGCGUGCACACACAAAGCAUUUACGCACAUGCACACACACCUAUAGACACACAAACACAACACAGACACACACACACAGCAGAGGAAAGUUUCAAAGCAGUGAAAAAAGGAUGGUGGCAUCUCCUUAGUAAGUGACUCAAAUACAGAGUCAAGCUGCUAUAUCUUCUCAUUUCUUUAAAGCUGCAAUCUGGUAUUCAAACAACUGCUCAGCCUGACACUUUUU